UGGGGAAUAUUGGGCAAUGGGCGCAAGCCUGACCCAGCGACGCCGCGUGAGGGAUGAAGGUCUUCGGAUUGUAAACCUCUUUCAGUGGGGAAGAAGCGAAAGUGACGGUACCCAAAGAAGAAGCACCGGCUAACUAU
rnacentral:rRNA from 1 species